GACGAACGCUGGCGGCAUGCUUAACACAUGCCGGUCGAACGGAAAGGCCCUGCUUUUGUGGGGUGCUCGAGUGGCGAACGGGUGAGUAACACGUGAGUAACCUGCCCUUGACUUUGGGAUAACUUCAGGAAACUGGGGCUAAUACCGGAUAGGAGCUCCUGCUGCAUGGUGGGGGUUGGAAAGUUUCGGCGGUUGGGGAUGGACUCGCGGCUUAUCAGCUUGUUGGUGGGGUAGUGGCUUACCAAGGCUUUGACGGGUAGCCGGCCUGAGAGGGUGACCGGCCACAUUGGGACUGAGAUACGGCCCAGACUCCUACGGGAGGCAGCAGUGGGGAAUAUUGCACAAUGGGCGGAAGCCUGAUGCAGCAACGCCGCGUGCGGGAUGACGGCCUUCGGGUUGUAAACCGCUUUCGCCUGUGACGAAGCGUGAGUGACGGUAAUGGGUAAAGAAGCACCGGCUAACUACGUG
rnacentral:rRNA from 1 species